rnacentral:RNase_P_RNA from 1 species
GAAGCUGACCAGACAGUCGCCGCUUCGUCGUCGUCCUUUCGGGGAGACGGGCGGAGGGGAGGAAAGUCCGGGCUCCAUAGGGCAGGGUGCCAGGUAACGCCUGGGGGGGAAACCCACGACCAGUGCAACAGAGAGCAGACCGCCGAUGGCCCACGUAAGUGGGAUCAGGUAAGGGUGAAAGGGUGCGGUAAGAGCGCACCGCGCGGCUGGUAACAGUCCGUGGCACGGUAAACUCCACCCGGAGCAAGGCCAAAUAGGGGUUCAUAAGGUACGGCCCGUACUGAACCCGGGUAGGCUGCUUGAGCCAGUGAGCGAUUGCUGGCCUAGAUGAAUGACUGUCCACGACAGAACCCGGCUUAUCGGUCAGUUUC